UACGAAGGGGGCUAGCGUUGCUCGGAAUCACUGGGCGUAAAGGGUGCGUAGGUGGAUUUUUAAGUCAGGGGUGAAAUCCUGGAGCUCAACUCCAGAACUGCCUUUGAUACUGGGAAUCUUGAGUUCGGGAGAGGUGAGUGGAACUGCGAGUGUAGAGGUGAAAUUCGUAGAUAUUCGCAAGAACACCAGUGGCGAAGGCGGCUCACUGGUCCGGUACUGACGCUGAGGUGCGAAAGCGUGGGGAGCAAAGCA
rnacentral:rRNA from 1 species